rnacentral:rRNA from 1 species
AGAGUUUGAUCCUGGCUCAGGAUGAACGCUAGCGGGAGGCUUAAUACAUGCAAGUCGAGCGCCCCGCAAGGGGAGCGGCGCACGGGUGAGUAACACGUACGCAAUCUACCUUAUGCUGGGGGAUAGCCCUGGGAAACUGGGAGUAAUCCGCCAUAGUAUUCAUGGAUGGCAUCAUUUAUGGAUUAAAGUGAUAGCGGCAUAAGAUGAGCGUGCGUCUGAUUAGCUAGUUGGAGUGGUAACGGCACACCAAGGCUACGAUCAGUAAGGGGCGUGAGAGCGUGGCCCCUCACACGGGUACUGAGACACGGACCCGACUCCUACGGGAGGCAGCAGUAAGGAAUAUUGGACAAUGGGCGGAAGCCUGAUCCAGCCAUCCCGCGUGCAGGAUGAAGGCCCUCCGGGUCGUAAACUGCUUUAGACUGGGAAGAAACCACUUGACGAGUCAGGUGUUGACGGUACCAGUAGAAUAAGCACCGGCUAACUCCGUGCCAGCAGCCGCGGUAAUACGGAGGGUGCAAGCGUUAUCCGGAUUCACUGGGUUUAAAGGGUGCGUAGGUGGAUUGGAAAGUCAGUGGUGAAAUCUCCGGGCUUAACUCGGAAACUGCCAUUGAUACUAUCAAUCUUGAAUACCGUGGAGGUCAGCGGAAUAUGUCAUGUAGCGGUGAAAUGCAUAGAUAUGACAUAGAACACCAAUUGCGAAGGCAGCUGGCUACACGAAUAUUGACACUGAGGCACGAAAGCGUGGGGAUCAAACAGGAUUAGAUACCCUGGUAGUCC